CAGCAACGCUUCGCAUUCCUUGGAACCGGUGACCAUUCGACUUCCCGACGACGCUUCGCAUUCCUUCGAACCGGCGACCAUUCGACUUCCCGGCGACGCUUUGCAUUCCUUUGAACUGGCGACCCUUCGCCUUCCUUCGAAUCGACGACCGUUCACCUUCACAGCACUCUCGUUUCCGAUUUCAUUUUCCAUUUCUGUCCCUCUGUGUUUUCCAAACACAAUCUCCGACGGCUACAGCAUUAACGGCAAUCAAUCUACAGACUCAUUUCGACGGCCAGAUUGUAACCCUGACGUUGACUAAGGUUUUGAAACUCCGCCUACGUCAUUGCCUAGUGUUCAUUGCGGGUCCAAGAACCAAAUAACACUGCGAUUAUUGGCGCUUCUCUUCUGAGGACACGUUCUGCCGUUUCGGCAUUGAGAAGCUACUCAUCAGCAAGAAAAGAGGUAAUGGUGGAUUUUUUUU